UAGGGAAUCUUCGGCAAUGGACGGAAGUCUGACCGAGCAACGCUGCGUGAGUGAAGAAGGUUUUCGGAUCGUAAAGCUCUGUUGUUAGAGAAGAACGUUGGUAGGAGUGGAAAAUCUACCAUGUGACGGUAACUAACCAGAAAGGGACGGCUAACUACGUGCCAGCAGCCGCGGUAAUACGUAGGUCCCGAGCGUUGUCCGGACUUAUUGGGCGUAAAGCGAGCGCAGGCGGUUUUUUAAAUCUGAAGUUAAAGGCAGUGGCUUAACCAUUGUACGCUUUGGAAACUGGAGGAGUGGAGUGCAGAAGGGGAGGGUGGGAUUCGAGGUGUAGCGGUGAGAUGCGUAAAUAUAUAGAGGAACGCCGGUGGCAAAAGCGUCUCUCUGGACUGUAACUGACGCGGAGGCUAGAAAGGGUGGGGAGCAAACAGG
rnacentral:rRNA from 1 species